AAGAACGCUGGCGGCUGCCUAAACAUGCAAGUCGAACGCUCACCGGGGUUUCGGCUCUGGUGGGAGUGGCGCACGGGUGAGUAGCGCGUGGGAACCUGCCCUUUUGUGGGGGAUAACCGAGGGAAACUUCGGCUAAUACCGCAUGCGCCCCUGGGGCGACCUGGGGGGAAAGAUUUAUCGCAGGAGGAGGGGCCCGCGUCGGAUUAGGUAGUUGGUGGGGUAACGGCCUACCAAGCCGAUGAUCCGUAGCUGGUCUGAGAGGAUGAUCAGCCACACUGGGACUGAGACACGGCCCAGACUCCUACGGGAGGCAGCAGUGGGGAAUAUUGGACAAUGGGCGCAAGCCUGAUCCAGCAAUGCCGCGUGAGUGAUGAAGGCCUUCGGGUUGUAAAGCUCUUUCGCCCGCGACGAUGAUGACGGUAGCGGGAGAAGAAGCCCCGGCUAACUUCGUGCCAGCAGCCGCGGUAAUACGAAGGGGGCGAGCGUUGUUCGGAAUCACUGGGCGUAAAGGGCGCGUAGGCGGCUCUGUUUGUCGCGUGUGAAAGCCCCGGGCUCAACCUGGGAGGUGCGCGCGAAACGGCGGGGCUGGA
rnacentral:rRNA from 1 species